AUUGAACGCUGGCGGAAUGCUUUACACAUGCAAGUCGAACGGCAGCACGGGUGCCUGCACCUGGUGGCGAGUGGCGAACGGGUGUGUAAUACAUCGGAACGUACCCAGUCGUGGGGGAUAACGUAGCGAAAGUUACGCUAAUACCGCAUACGUCCUGAGGGAGAAAGCGGGGGACCGUAAGGCCUCGCGCGAUUGGAGCGGCCGAUGGCGGAUUAGCUAGUUGGUGGGGUAAAGGCCUACCAAGGCGACGAUCCGUAGCGGGUCUGAGAGGACGGCCCGCCACACUGGAACUGAGACACGGUCCAGACUCCUACGGGAGGCAGCAGUGGGGAAUUUUGGACAAUGGGCGAAAGCCUGAUUCAGCCAUUCCGCGUGAGUGAAGAAGGCCUUCGGGUUGUAAAGCUCUUUCGGCAGGGAAGAAACGGCUUGGGAUAAUACCCCGGGCUAAUGACGGUACCUGAAGAAGAAGCACCGGCUAACCACGUGCCAGCCGCCGCCGUAA
rnacentral:rRNA from 1 species